AUGAAAAUGUGUGAAGAGGCAGCAGGGAACAUACAAAAUUUUUCAUAUCAACCCAAGGGCCAUUUACCUGCUUUCUCAAGGUAUGAAGGAAACUAUUAUAAUUCUGAUGAAAGAGCAGAUUGUGUGGAAUCUACAGAGGAUAGUGCAAGCGCAAAACAGAUGUCUAAAGAAGGGUCUUAUGAUAAGGACUGCAACAAAUAUCUGGACAACCUGAGCAGUGGGGAAGAACAGGAAAUCAAAAAGAAACCACAACAGUCAGCUGACACACUGAUGUGGGGGCUUUCCAGCUCUGGCUAUAGGGAGUCCAGCCUCAGCCCUGUGAACCAAACCUAUGGCUUUUCCAAUAUCCCAAGCUCAGAUCCCACAGAUGACAGCGAGUUCUUUUCUUCUGAUAAUGUGAAUUUUGACCUGAGAGUAGAUGACUGGGAUGAUUUUGAUGAUGAGAAUUUAGUUCAUGCCAGUGAGACUGUAUCCAUGACUCAAGGGACAGGGUGUGAGAAGCCAAUAGGUUACUCAGCACCACUGUCACCCUGUGAACAACCCAAAUCAAUCUUUAUAGAGUGUAACAGAUCAUACGGGGCAAACUACACAACCAUCAGACGUCAAGCACUAGAGCUUACGCCUCUCACUCACUCCCCUAAACCAAAUAACUGCAUUACUUCUUUCAUUAAAGACACUAAACAAUGCGACAGCAAUUACGGGACUCGGAAGAGGUCUGCCUUGCAAAAACAGAGUGAGCCAAACCUGGCAACACAGAAUAGACAGUUUGACUUCUUUUUAAAGACGGAUGUUGAAACAUAUACAACAGACCUAAAUGGCAGGUACGCAGUUGUAAAAUGGGUCUGUUAAUAACUGAAUAUAUGGAUUAAUCUUUGUGGACUCUUAUAUUUCCUUACUCAUACAGUGUUGAGUUAAUAAAAGGUUUUACUCUCAUGGUUUCA
rnacentral:lncRNA from 1 species